rnacentral:rRNA from 1 species
AUUGAACGCUGGCGGCAGGCCUAACACAUGCCAGUCGAGCGGAUGAAGGGAGCUUGCUCCUGGAUUCAGCGGCGGACGGGUGAGUAAUGCCUAGGAAUCUGCCUGGUAGUGGGGGAUAACGUCCGGAAACGGGCGCUAAUACCGCAUACGUCCUGAGGGAGAAAGUGGGGGAUCUUCGGACCUCACGCUAUCAGAUGAGCCUAGGUCGGAUUAGCUAGUUGGUGGGGUAAAGGCCUACCAAGGCGACGAUCCGUAACUGGUCUGAGAGGAUGAUCAGUCACACUAGAACUGAGACACGGUCCAGACUCCUACGUGAGGCAGCAGUGGGGAAUAUUGGACAAUGGGCGAAAGCCUGAUCCAGCCAUGCCGCGUGUGUGAAGAAGGUCUUCGGAUUGUAAAGCACUUUAAGUUGGGAAGAAGGGCAGUAAGUUAAUACCUUGCUGUUUUGACGUUACCAACAGAAUAAGCACCGGCUAACUUCGUG